GGUUUGUGUGUGUCCAUAUGUGAAGACAGAGGUGUGGGAUUCCCUCAAGGGAGGAAUUGCUGGGUCAUAUGAUAUUCUGAUUUUCCAAUACGUUUUCAGAUCGAAAAUUAUUGGAAGAAACUGACAACCUAACGUGACUUUGGAAGAAACAAUUCGAGGAAACCUUGUGAGAACAGUUUUGGGAACAUCUACACAUCUUUCUUUUCUCUGGGCUAACUUACGAGGGAAUGGGGGUGGUGGCAUAUUGUGAGCUUUGUUUGAUGUUGAUCCUAAAUUUCUGAAAAGUUUGAGCUCGUGUUUGGUUCUCUCUCCAUGUUUCCAGUGCCUCAGUGUGUUACCAUACAAAAUCAUAUACUUUGGUUUAAAAUCAUAUAUGUGAUGUCAGUUAUUGACUAAGAAAACUUGCCUUGAUGGGCAUAUUUAUUGAUACUAGUGCAUAAAGAAGCAUCUUUGUGGAAGAAACAAUACUGUCUCUUCUGUAAAGAUGUGAAAGUAGAACCAGUUGGGGCUCUCCAUUGUGGGGCUUAGCAUCCUGAGCAGGGCUGACCAAUCUUUCCAGGUUACCUUGUCAGGAACCCUCCUGCAAACCAAAGGGGACCUCCUCCCCCACCCCUUUUUUUUUUCCUGGUUAUUCAAACAAAGUGGCAUCUGUCACAACUGUUUCCAUAAGGAGAGGCUUCAUUCUGUGUCUGAAUCCUUUAUGCCCUCAUGUUCCUGAGCAGACCUUUCUGGAAAGCAGUGUGCUAUAAGUCAGUGGGAUGGGUGUUACAGUCCAAAAUUCCCUACAAAAGACAGGAGAAAAGUAAGAGUCCACCUAUAGUGUGUGGAUCAAAAGAGAGGCAAACAGAAUGGGUACGUUUAGAAGGUUUGUGGAUCUGGCUACUCAUGAACACCAUGAGGCAAUAUAGAUGUAUUUAGUCCUUAACAGAAGCUGACCACCCACAGAAUUUGAGAGAGAAAUUCUGAGACUUAGUUCAAUUCUUAGUUCUAUUAGUUCAAUAUUCUGGGUAAAUUUUUUUGUUAUUUUAUAGUAGUGUUAAUAUAUAAUAGUGUUAAUAGUACAGUAGUUAAUAUUACUCCUUUCCUAGAGGGUAACGUGGGUUUGUGUCCUCUCCAUCUAUGUUUCAACUUAACUAAGCAUGCGUGCACACACGCACACACACACACACAUGCAUGUGCAUGUAAAGAAAAAAUAU